CCUACGGGGGGCAGCAGUGAGGAAUAUUGGUCAAUGGGCGCGAGCCUGAACCAGCCAAGUCGCGUGAGGGAAGACGGCCCUAUGGAUUGUAAACCUCUUUUGUCGGGGAGCAAAAGACGCCACGUGUGGCGUUCCGAGAGUACCCGAAGAAAAAGCCUCGGCUAACUCCGUGCCCGCAGCCGCGGUAAUACGGAGGAUGCGAGCGUUAUCCGGAUUUAUUGGGUUUAAAGGGUGCGCAGGCGGAAGAUCAAGUCAGCGGUAAAAUUGCGGGGCUCAACCCCUUCGAGCCGUUGAAACUGGUGUUCUUGAGUGGGUGAGAAGUAUGCGGAAUGCGUGGUGUAGCGGUGAAAUGCAUAGAUAUCACGCAGAACUCCGAUUGCGAAGGCAGCAUACCGGCGCUCAACUGACGCUGAAGCACGAAAGUGUGGGUAUCGAACAGGAUUAGAUACCCGUGUAGUC
rnacentral:rRNA from 1 species